rnacentral:sRNA from 2 species
AUAUCUCUCUGUACGGGAAGGAUGAGAAGCUUCGACUAAGGUUCGAUUCGAGCGCAGCGAGAAAGCGUUGCCGCAGGCAACGACCCGAAGGGCGAAGCGCGCAGCGCUGAGUCAUCCUUCCCCCACC